GAUGAACGCUAGCGGCAGGCUUAAUACAUGCAAGUCGUGGGGCAGCGCAGGUAGCAAUACUGGGCGGCGACCGGCAAACGGGUGCGGAACACGUACACAACCUUCUGAGAAGUGGGGAAUAGCCCAGAGAAAUUUGGAUUAAUACCCCGUAACAUAACGAUGUGGCAUCACAUUGUUAUUAUAGCUUCGGCGCUUCUUGAUGGGUGUGCGGCUGAUUAGAUAGUUGGCGGGGUAACGGCCCACCAAGUCUACGAUCAGUAGCUGAUGUGAGAGCAUGAUCAGCCACACGGGCACUGAGACACGGGCCCGACUCCUACGGGAGGCAGCAGUAAGGAAUAUUGGUCAAUGGACGCAAGUCCGAACCAGCCAUGCCGCGUGAAGGAUUAAGGUCCUCUGGGUUGUAAACUGCUUUUGCCAGGGGAUAAAAUUUCCAUGCGUGGAAAACUGAAGGUACCUGGUGAAUAAGCCACGGCUAACUACGUGCCAGCAGCC
rnacentral:rRNA from 1 species